rnacentral:rRNA from 1 species
GACGAACGCUGGCGGCGUGCUUAACACAUGCAAGUCGAACGCUGAAGACCUGGCUUUUGUUGGUUUGGAUGAGUGGCGAACGGGUGAGUAACACGUGAGUAACCUGCCCUCUUCUUUGGGAUAACGCCCGGAAACGGGUGCUAAUACUGGAUAUUCACUGAUCUUCGCAUGGGGGUUGGUGGAAAGGUUUGUUCUGGUGGGGGAUGGGCUCGCGGCCUAUCAGCUUGUUGGUGGGGUGAUGGCCUACCAAGGCUUUGACGGGUAGCCGGCCUGAGAGGGUGACCGGUGACAUUGGGACUGGGACACGGCCCAGACGCCUACGGGAGGCAGCAGUGGUGAAUAAUGCACGAUGGGCUAAAGCCGGAUGCAGCGGCGCCGCGUGAGGGAUGGAGGCCUGCGGGUUGUAAAUCUCUGUCGCGCAAGGUCAAGCCGCAACUGUGGGUUGUGGUGAGGGUAGUGGGUAAAGAAGCGCCGGCUAACUACGUG